rnacentral:rRNA from 1 species
ACGAACGCUGGCGGCAUGCCUAACACAUGCAAGUCGAACGGGGAUACAAGAGCUUGCUUUUGUAUCUUAGUGGCGGACGGGCGAGUAACGCGUGAGCAACCUGCCCUUCAGUGGGGAAUAACGUCUGGAAACGGACGCUAAUACCGCAUAACACAACGAAGCCGCAUGACUUUGUUGUCAAAGGAUUUAUUCGCUGAAGGAUGGGCUCGCGUCCGAUUAGCUAGAUGGUGGGGUAAAGGCUCACCAUGGCGACGAUCGGUAGCCGAACUGAGAGGUUGAUCGGCCGCAUUGGGACUGAGACACGGCCCAGACUCCUACGGGAGGCAGCAGUGGGGGAUAUUGCACAAUGGGGGAAACCCUGAUGCAGCAAUGCCGCGUGAGGGAAGAAGGUCUUCGGAUUGUAAACCUAAGUAGCCAGGGACGAUAAUGACGGUACCUGGAGAGUAAGCUCCGGCUAACUACGUGCCAGCAGCCGCGGUAAUACGUAGGGAGCGAGCGUUGUCCGGAUUUACUGGGUGUAAAGGGUGCGUAGGCGGGAUGGCAAGUCAGAUGUGAAAUACCGGGGCUUAACCCCGGGGCUGCAUUUGAAACUGUCGUUCUUGAGUGAAGUAGAGGCAGGCGGAAUUCCUAGUGUAGCGGUGAAAUGCGUAGAUAUUAGGAGGAACACCAGUGGCGAAGGCGGCCUGCUGGGCUUUAACUGACGCUGAGGCACGAAAGCAUGGGGAGCAAACAGGAUUAGAUACCCUGGUAGUCCAUGCCGUAAACGAUGAUUGCUAGGUGUGGGGGGACUGACCCCUUCCGUGCCGGAGUAAACACAAUAAGCAAUCCACCUGGGGAGUACGGCCGCAAGGCUGAAACUCAAAGGAAUUGACGGGGGCCCGCACAAGCAGUGGAGUAUGUGGUUUAAUUCGAAGCAACGCGAAGAACCUUACCAGGUCUUGACAUCCCGAUGCCCGGCAUAGAGAUAUGCCCUUUUCUUCGGAAACAUCGGUGACAGGUGGUGCAUGGUUGUCGUCAGCUCGUGUCGUGAGAUGUUGGGUUAAGUCCCGCAACGAGCGCAACCCUUGUCAUUAGUUGCUACGCGAGAGCACUCUAAUGAGACUGCCGUUGACAAAACGGAGGAAGGUGGGGACGACGUCAAAUCAUCAUGCCCCUUAUGACCUGGGCUACACACGUACUACAAUGGCCAUUAACAGAGGGAAGCAAGACCGCGAGGUGGAGCAAAACCCCAAAAAUGGUCCCAGUUCAGAUUGUAGGCUGCAACUCGCCUAUAUGAAGUCGGAAUUGCUAGUAAUCGCGGAUCAGCAUGCCGCGGUGAAUACGUUCCCGGGCCUUGUACACACCGCCCGUCACACCAUGGGAGCCGGUAAUACCCGAAGUCAGUAGUCCAACCGCAAGGAGGGCGCUGCCGAAGGUAGGAUUGGCGACUGGGGUG